AUUGAACGCUGGCGGCAGGCCUAACACAUGCAAGUCGAACGAGUGGCGGACGGGUGAGUAAUGUCUGGGAAACUGCCCGAUGGAGGGGGAUAACUACUGGAAACGGUAGCUAAUACCGCAUACCAUCAGAUGUGCCCAGAUGGGAUUAGCUAGUAGGUGGGGUAAAGGCGCACCAAGGCGACGAUCCCUAGCUGGUCUGAGAGGAUGACCGGCACCCCUGUAACUGAGACACGGUCCAGACUCCGACGUGAGGCAGCAGUGGGGAAUAUUGCACAAUGGGCGCAAGCCUGAUGCAGCCAUGCCGCGUGUGUGAAGAAGGCCUUCGGGUUGUAAAGCACUUUCAGCGGGGAGGCGUUACCCGCAGAAGAAGCACCGGCUAACUCCGUGCCAGCCGCCGCGGUAAUUC
rnacentral:rRNA from 1 species